AUUGAACGCUGGCGGCAGGCCUAACACAUGCAAGUCGAACGGUAACAGGAAGCAGCUUGCUGCUUUGCUGACGAGUGGCGGACGGGUGAGUAAUGUCUGGGAAACUGCCCGAUGGAGGGGGAUAACUACUGGAAACGGUAGCUAAUACCGCAUAACGUCGCAAGCCCAAAGAGGGGGACCUUAGGGCCUCUUGCCAUCUGCUGUGCCCAGAUGGGAUUAGCUAGUAGGUGGGGUAACGGCUCACCUAGGCGACGAUCCCUAGCUGGUCUGAGAGGAUGACCAGCCACACUGGAACUGAGACACGGUCCAGACUCCUACGGGAGGCAGCAGUGGGGAAUAUUGCACAAUGGGCGCAAGCCUGAUGCAGCCAUGCCGCGUGUAUGAAGAAGGCCUUCGGGUUGUAAAGUACUUUCAGCGGGGAGGAAGGGAGUAAAGUUAAUACCUUUGCUCAUUGACGUUACCCGAAGAAGAAGCACCGGCUAACUCCGUG
rnacentral:rRNA from 1 species